UGGGGAAUAUUGCACAAUGGAGGGAACUCUGAUGCAGCGACGCCGCGUGAGUGAAGAAGGUCUUCGGAUCGUAAAACUCUGUCCUUGGUGAAGAAAAGGACGGUAGCCAAGGAGGAAGCCCCGGCUAACUACGUGCCAGCAGCCGCGGUAAUACGUAGGGGGCGAGCGUUGUCCGGAUUUACUGGGCGUAAAGGGUGAGUAGGCGGUUAUAUAUGUCAGGUGUAAAAGGCUAUGGCUUAACCAUGGUUAGCACUUGAAACUGUAUGACUUGAGUGCAGGAGAGGUAAGCGGAAUUCCUAGUGUAGCGGUGAAAUGCGUAGAUAUUAGGAGGAACACCAGUGGCGAAGGCGGCUUACUGGACUGUAACUGACGCUGAGUCACGAAAGCGUGGGUAGCAAACAGG
rnacentral:rRNA from 1 species